CCGGCGAUGUCCGAAUGGGGAAACCCAGUGCAAUUCGUUGCACUAUCGUUAACUGAAUACAUAGGUUAACGAGGCGAACCGGGGGAACUGAAACAUCUAAGUACCCCGAGGAAAAGAAAUCAACCGAGAUUCCCCCAGUAGCGGCGAGCGAACGGGGAGCAGCCCAGAGUCUGAAUCAGCUUGUGUGUUAGUGGAACGGUCUGGAAAGUCCGACGGUACAGGGUGAUAGUCCCGUACACCAAAAUGCACAGGCUGUGAACUCGAAGAGUAGGGCGGGACACGUGGUAUCCUGUCUGAAUAUGGGGGGACCAUCCUCCAAGGCUAAAUACUCCUGACUGACCGAUAGUGAACCAGUACCGUGAGGGAAAGGCGAAAAGAACCCCGGCGAGGGGAGUGAAAAAGAACCUGAAACCGUGUACGUACAAGCAGUGGGAGCACCUUUAUGGUGUGACUGCGUACCUUUUGUAUAAUGGGUCAGCGACUUAUAUUCUGUAGCAAGGUUAACCGUAUAGGGGAGCCGCAGGGAAACCGAGUCUUAACUGGGCGUUAAGUUGCAGGGUAUAGACCCGAAACCCGGUGAUCUAGCCAUGGGCAGGUUGAAGGUUGGGUAACACUAACUGGAGGACCGAACCGACUAAUGUUGAAAAAUUAGCGGAUGACUUGUGGCUGGGGGUGAAAGGCCAAUCAAACCGGGAGAUAGCUGGUUCUCCCCGAAAGCUAUUUAGGUAGCGCCUCGUGAACUCAUCUUCGGGGGUAGAGCACUGUUUCGGCUAGGGGGUCAUCCCGACUUACCAACCCGAUGCAAACUACGAAUACCGAAGAAUGUUAUCACGGGAGACACACGGCGGGUGCUAACGUCCGUCGUGAAGAGGGAAACAACCCAGACCGCCAGCUAAGGUCCCAAAGUCAUGGUUAAGUGGGAAACGAUGUGGGAAGGCACAGACAGCCAGGAUGUUGGCUUAGAAGCAGCCAUCAUUUAAAGAAAGCGUAAUAGCUCACUGGUCGAGUCGGCCUGCGCGGAAGAUGUAACGGGGCUAAACCAUGCACCGAAGCUGCGGCAGCGACACUAUGUGUUGUUGGGUAGGGGAGCGUUCUGUAAGCCUGCGAAGGUGACCUGUGAGGGUUGCUGGAGGUAUCAGAAGUGCGAAUGCUGACAUAAGUAACGAUAAAGCGGGUGAAAAGCCCGCUCGCCGGAAGACCAAGGGUUCCUGUCCAACGUUAAUCGGGGCAGGGUGAGUCGACCCCUAAGGCGAGGCCGAAAGGCGUAGUCGAUGGGAAACAGGUUAAUAUUCCUGUACUUGGUGUUACUGCGAAGGGGGGACGGAGAAGGCUAUGUUAGCCGGGCGACGGUUGUCCCGGUUUAAGCAUGUAGGCUGGUUGUCCAGGCAAAUCCGGAUAAUCAAGGCUGAGGUGUGAUGACGAGGCACUACGGUGCUGAAGUAACAAAUGCCCUGCUUCCAGGAAAAGCCUCUAAGCAUCAGGUAACAUUAAAUCGUACCCCAAACCGACACAGGUGGUCAGGUAGAGAAUACCAAGGCGCUUGAGAGAACUCGGGUGAAGGAACUAGGCAAAAUGGUGCCGUAACUUCGGGAGAAGGCACGCUGGUGUGUAGGUGAAGUCCCUGCGGAUGGAGCUGAGACCAGUCGAAGAUACCAGCUGGCUGCAACUGUUUAUUAAAAACACAGCACUGUGCAAACACGAAAGUGGACGUAUACGGUGUGACGCCUGCCCGGUGCCGGAAGGUUAAUUGAUGGGGUUAUCCGUAAGGAGAAGCUCUUGAUCGAAGCCCCGGUAAACGGCGGCCGUAACUAUAACGGUCCUAAGGUAGCGAAAUUCCUUGUCGGGUAAGUUCCGACCUGCACGAAUGGCGUAAUGAUGGCCAGGCUGUCUCCACCCGAGACUCAGUGAAAUUGAACUCGCUGUGAAGAUGCAGUGUACCCGCGGCAAGACGGAAAGACCCCGUGAACCUUUACUAUAGCUUGACACUGAACAUUGAGCCUUGAUGUGUAGGAUAGGUGGGAGGCUUUGAAGCGUGGACGCCAGUCUGCGUGGAGCCAACCUUGAAAUACCACCCUUUAAUGUUUGAUGUUCUAACGUUGGCCCCUUACCGGGGUUGCGGACAGUGUCUGGUGGGUAGUUUGACUGGGGCGGUCUCCUCCCAAAGCGUAACGGAGGAGCACGAAGGUUAGCUAAUCCUGGUCGGACAUCAGGAGGUUAGUGCAAUGGCAUAAGCUAGCUUGACUGCGAGCGUGACGGCGCGAGCAGGUGCGAAAGCAGGUCAUAGUGAUCCGGUGGUUCUGAAUGGAAGGGCCAUCGCUCAACGGAUAAAAGGUACUCCGGGGAUAACAGGCUGAUACCGCCCAAGAGUUCAUAUCGACGGCGGUGUUUGGCACCUCGAUGUCGGCUCAUCACAUCCUGGGGCUGAAGUAGGUCCCAAGGGUAUGGCUGUUCGCCAUUUAAAGUGGUACGCGAGCUGGGUUUAGAACGUCGUGAGACAGUUCGGUCCCUAUCUGCCGUGGGCGCUGGAGAAUUGAGGGGGGCUGCUCCUAGUACGAGAGGACCGGAGUGGACGCAUCACUGGUGUUCGGGUUGUCAUGCCAAUGGCACUGCCCGGUAGCUAAAUGCGGAAGAGAUAAGUGCUGAAAGCAUCUAAGCACGAAACUUGCCCCGAGAUGAGUUCUCCCUGAGACUUUAAGUCUCCUGAAGGAACGUU
rnacentral:rRNA from 1 species